CCUACGGGUGGCAGCAGUGGGGAAUAUUGCACAAUGGGGGAAACCCUGAUGCAGCGACGCCGCGUGAGUGAAGAAGUAUUUCGGUAUGUAAAGCUCUAUCAGCAGGGAAGAUAAUGACGGUACCUGAGUAAGAAGCCCCGGCUAACUACGUGCCAGCAGCCGCGGUAAUACGUAGGGGGCAAGCGUUAUCCGGAUUUACUGGGGGGAAAGGGAGCGUAGACGGGAUGUGAAGUCUGAGGUGAAAGGCCGGGGCUCAACCGGGGGACAGCUUUGGAAACUGUGAAGCUGGAGUGCAGGAGAGGAAAGUGGAAUUCCUAGUGUAGCGGUGAAAUGCGUAGAUAUUAGGAGGAACACCAGUGGCGAAGGCGGCUUACUGGACUGUAACUGACGUUGAGGCACGAAAGCGUGGGGAGCAAACAGGAUUAGAUACCCGAGUAGUC
rnacentral:rRNA from 1 species